rnacentral:rRNA from 1 species
UACGGAGGGUGCAAGCGUUGCUCGGAAUUACUGGGCGUAAAGCGCGCGUAGGCGGACCUGCAAGUCGGGGGUGAAAGCCCGAGGCUCAACCUCGGAACUGCCUUCGAUACUGCGGGUCUCGAGUCCGGGAGAGGUGAGUGGAAUUCCUAGUGUAGAGGUGAAAUUCGUAGAUAUUAGGAAGAACACCAGUGGCGAAGGCGGCUCACUGGCCCGGUACUGACGCUGAGGUGCGAAAGCGUGGGGAGCAAACAGG